rnacentral:rRNA from 1 species
CAGCCGCCGCGGUAAAACGUAGGUCCCGAGCGUUGUCCGGAUUUAUUGGGCGUAAAGCGAGCGCAGGCGGUUAGAUAAGUCUGAAGUUAAAGGCUGUGGCUUAACCAUAGUACGCUUUGGAAACUGUUUAACUUGAGUGCAAGAGGGGAGAGUGGAAUUCCAUGUGUAGCGGUGAAAUGCGUAGAUAUAUGGAGGAACACCGGUGGCGAAAGCGGCUCUCUGGCUUGUAACCGACGCUGAGGCUCGAAAGCGUGGGGAGCAAACAGGAUUAGAUACCCCCGUAGUCCCGUCUCUUAUACAC